AAUUUCUCAGACAAUGAGGAGGUUGGCUUAGAAGCAGCCAUCCUUUAAAGAAAGCGUAACAGCUCACUCAUUCAGAGAUCUUGCGCCGCAGAUGAUCGGGGUUAAGUAUAGUACCGAAGGUGCGGGCCCAGCUCCACUUUUGUUUAUGACUUGUUGUACAUCAUAUCGUCUUCCAAGAUGUUAUAUAUGUAUGAACAAAAAGUCAUGAGUAAAAGUGGGGCUGGGCGGUAGGAGAGCGUUCCUGUCCGCGAUGAAGCCCAAGCGUGAGCUUUUGGGUGGAGCGUCAGGAAGUGAGAAUGUUGGCACAAGUAACCGCAAGGAAGGUGAAAUCCCUUCCCGCCGAAAUACCGAGGUUUCCUUCGCAAUGUUAAUCAACGAAGGGUUAGUCGGGCCUAAGGAGAUGGUGAAAACCGUAUCCGAUGGACACAUGGUUAAUAUUCCAUGACCCGCAUGCGUUCCGAUGGAGUGACGGAGCGUUGUACUGUGAGCAAAUAAUCGGAUUUUUGUCCGUGCCGUGAGGAUGGUUCCAUAGGUAAAUCCGGGAACCGCUAGUCCAAGCGGAGCGGAAAUUCUGCGGUUCGCCGUAGGAGAUUCACAGGAGCACGCUUCCAAGAAAAACUUCUCAGGUUAAACGUAUGCGGACCGUACCGCAAACCGACACAGGUGGUAGAGUCGAGAAGACUAAGGCGAACGAGUGAUAAUUCCCCAAGGAACUCGGCAAAAAAGCAGCCGUAACUUCGGAAUAAGGCUUUCCAGCUCUUUCUUCGGAAAGGGCUGGAUGCAGCGAAAGUAUCUCUGGCGACUGUUUAUCAAAAACACAGCUCCCUGCGAACUCGCAAGAGGAUGUAUAGGGGGUGACGCCUGACCAAUGCCGGAAGGUCAAACAUGGAUGGUCCAAGGGACGCAAGUUUUUUGGGCUGGGCUAUGUAAGCCCCGGUGAAUGUCGGCCGUAACUAUAACGGUCCUAAGGUAGCGAAAUUCCUUGUCUGGUAAGUUCAGACCCGCACGAAUGGCGCAACGAUCAGAGAACUGUCUCGGGGAACAGCUCGGUGAAAAUACAGUACCGGUGAAGAUGCCGGUUACCUACAGCUAGACGAAAAGACCCCAGGAGCUUUACUGCAACUUCAUAUUGGGUAUGUGCUCUUACUGCGUAGAAUAGGUGGGAGGCUUUGAAGCGGUUCUUUUGGGAGCCGUGGAGCCGACAGUGAAAUACCACUCUGUAAGGGGGCAUAUUCUAACCCGUACGGCAAAACCGUGCGGAGACAGUGUGUGGUGGGUAGUUUGAGUGGGGCGCUCUCCUUCGGGAUGGCAUAUGUGUAAACAUAUGGUAUCCCGAAACAGGAGCGCCUCCGAGGUAUCAUCCGGUACCUGAAACAAAUAAAUGAGGGGGACGCCAUACGGUAACGUAUGUGUCGUGAACCAAGCUAUAUGCCGGAAUAUCCGAGUAUCUUUUGUGUCGUUCUUCUCAUUAUGAAGAGAACGGAACAGUACAAAAGUGCGGACAAUCGGCAGGGAAGAUGUAUAUGACAACAUGUCUACAUCCCCUCAGAGGCCAUACGCUUGGAUUCCUUGUUAAACAAGGAAUAAGAGAUGGUCCGAUCUUCAUGGCGACAUGGAGUGUAUAUCAACCCGUUGAUAUACGGCCACUAUUCAUACUAGUGGUACCAGUAUGCCUAAACUGUAACGGAGGAGUCUAAAGGUUGGCUAGGCGCGAAUGGACACCGUGCCGAUAGUGUAAUGGCACAAGCCAGCUUGAUUGCGAGGCGUACAUGCCGAGCAGGUGCGAAAGCAGAGCAUAGUGAACCGAUGGUUCGCUUUAGACGCGGCCAGAGAUUAACGGAUAAAAGCUACCCUGGGGAUAACAGGCUAGUUCCGCCUAAGCGUUCAGAGCGACGGCGGAGUUCGGCACCUCGAUGUCGGCUCAACUUAUCCCGGGGCUGGAGAAGGUCCCAAGGGUUUGGCUGUUCGCCAAUUAAAAAGUUACGCGAGCUGGGUUCAGACCGUUCAGGGGCGUAUGAUAUGCGUAUGCAUGUCAUAGGCCUCUGAACCAAUCUGAACCCGAGGAAGACAUCAAUACGGCGGCAUCAUAUAGCAAUAUAUGAUGAGAAGUUAACUGAUAUCGGUGAAAUCCUUUUCACAUGACCAGAAAAGGACAAUACCGAGGGAAUUAUAUUGUUUACAAUAUAUGCCCGUAGAGACUGCACGUUAACCGCCCAGCUUCAUUUUUAUCGCAAGGUGAGAGUGAAUAAACCAUGUUAAAAAGUGGUGCUGGGAUGAAGAUAUAGUCCGAUCCCGUUGGUAACAGCGGUGUCAUUCAUAAAAUCAUAUAAAGUAUCUAUGAAUGGCUACAUCAUGCGUAAGACAGGUUGGUCUCCUAUCUGCUGUAGGCGUUGAUUCUUGAGAAGAUCCGUUCGUAGUACGAGAGGACCCGAAUGGACUAACCUCUGGUGUACCGGUUGUUCCGCCAGGAGCACGGCCGGGUAGCUAUGUUGGGAAUGGAUAACCUCUGAAAGCAUCUAAGAGGGAAGCCAACUUCAAGAUGAGGAAUCGUUUGAAACUCCUCAGAGAUGAUGAGGUUGAUAGGCACCAGGUGGAAGCGCAGUGAUGCGUUGAGCCGAGGUGUACUAAUGCGUUGACGCGUU
rnacentral:rRNA from 1 species